GUAGGAGAGAAAGAGAAAGUGAAACGAAGAAGGAAUUGGCGAAAUACGCACCUCUGGUAUUCCAAUUGGUAAUUGCAGGUUCGAAUGAGAGUAGCGAUGUUCACAAACAGGUUGUGCUAAUCAAAUUAGAGGAGGAGCACUACUAGAUCUCUGUCGAGCUUCUCUACCAUUUUGAGUACCUUCGAAUGUUUCAACUGGAUUUCGAGAUCCCUUGCAAGCAUGAGCCACGAAAAAGGCGUGUGAGAGGUGGAUUUUCUUACCAUGGCCGGUUUCGUGCUUCGAGACCAUAGCCUGCAGAGCCAUACUGAGUUGAACAGAGAUACGUACUAUUAGACUCGGUAGGGGUCGCUCUCCUUCGGGUGCCGCUCCGGAUGCUGGCCAGUUAUAUCAGAGAUGUGUGUGCCCUUGGGAAGACGACCUACCUGCGGGAGUGGUGUUCGGGCUGGGAGCAGAGCCUAAGUGUCGAUGGUGCACCUGCGGGAGUGCGAUUCCGGCGCUAGGCAGGCGCAGGCUUGAUCGGACGUACGAGUCGGUCGUUGUGAUUGGGGGUUCGUAUACUGACGGUUGAUCGAGGUGAGGGGGAUCGCGCAGUAGUUAGCAUCUCCUACCAGCAUGCCUUUACAGUAGAGGACCACGAGAUAGAGUGCUAUUUUGUACAGCUUGCCUGCACUGGCGAGGGUCUAGGCUGUUUUUGUGUACUUUUCUUUUGAGCUUGAGGUUUAUUUGAUGAUGUUCACGUUGUACGGCAACUUAGUUUGGAAAUAGCGCUCUGAUACAUGUUAUUUGUUUAUUCGGUACUUCUUCUUGAUUCACGUGUUGUGGAUACCCGUCAUGUUUGACCUCGUGGUUUGUUUUGUAU